rnacentral:lncRNA from 1 species
UCCGAGGCCGGAGGCUGUGUUUAUCGUUACUAACGUGUGUUUUCUCGGGAGGGACGCGCCGCCUAUAAAUUUAGGAGGAGGGGGUGGCCCCGCGCAGGUAGCUGACGGUGGAUGCGUGUGCUGGGAGCGCGGCGGCCCCACAGCUCAGAGGGAGACGGAUCUCCCGCAGACCUCCCAGAGGCAGCUCAUCUGUUCGGGGGCGAAGGAGGGAGGGGUGGGGGACCGAGCCUCCCAUUUGUCUGACGUCGCAUCAGAGACUUGCCCGUCUCCGUACCCGGUCUGCACGGCCCUGCUGCCCGGGCUCCCAGACCCGCUCGUCCGAGGCUACUCGGGGCGGGGGGCGCGCAGUGGGAUUGGGCAGGGGGGCACCCCAGGAAGGCCGCGGCGAAGAGGGCCGGCAUUCGGGGCACCGGUUCGCGUCUCCGGGGCUCCGCGUCUGACCGAUCGCACGGUCUUGCGGUUAAAGACCCCCAGAGCCGUGGGAUGCCAGAGACGGGUGGGGUGGGGGUGGGUUAGGAUCCAGCAGACAGUCCCUCCUGCCGGCACCUCACCUCUGUGGGAGGAGCCGUGUCCCCUGGGCACUAGGGUGAGCUUGUGGGCCCCAGGGACAGCCAGCGGGGCCGGCACAAGCCACGGCCGGGGCCUGGCGCGUUUCCGUCCGAACGUCGGGGCGUCGUGCCUCACGCCCAGGCUAGCACAGUCCCUCUCGCCCGGCCCCGAGUGAGGCCCGUGGAGCCCGCCCAUGGAGGCCAGAGGCAGAGGCCGAGGUCAUGACGCCCACCGUGGUUACGUGGCAGAAUCUGGCGGAAGGAGAGGGGCACCCGGCCCGCACCCCUCUCCUCAGGACAGGCCAGCCCCUUUCCCUUUGGCCACAGGAGCUCGGGCACAGCUGAGAGGGCGGGUUGGUCCCAGUGCUCACCCCCCAACCAGGGGGACGCACUGACCUGCUCGUUUCCACGCGACCUCCGUGGCGCCCCCCGUGCUCCAGGCGCUGGGCUGCGUGCAGGGCCCUGGAGAGAGCCAGGCGGCAGGAUCCCUGCUCCCGGGAGCACGUGGGCACGGGGCCUAGCGA